AAUCUAUACAUGAAAUGAAAGCUUGUGAUCUGAGCAUUAAGAAAAAAAAUGAUGUGGUGAAAUUUAUGUGGACAUUUUCUUAUAAAAACGUUUUUAUGUCAAACCAGUAAAGUCUGUAGAGAAACUCUGCUGUAAAAUGAGUCAUCAAGAAAAUAGUACUACCAGUACUUCCUGCAGUCUGCUGAGACCACUUCCUGUCCUAGCAGUGUUGACAUUUGGAACUUGAUAGCUUGUUAGAUCUUUUUCCAAAGAUUUUCAUUCGAAGCAUUGACAAGUCUUCAGAUUUCUUCAAUAUCAUUGUUGAGGUUAACUUCAAAGAGAAAUGGACUUAAAGGGACCAAGUCCAAAAGAGUAAACAUUCAUCUGCCGAGUACUGCAUCAUAAUUAGUGCUCGAACAAAUUUAUCACCUGGAGAAUUACAAUCACUGCCCAAUUGAGCCAAGACGAUGUUUUUACCAGACUUGUGCAGUUGUUUGGAAAUUAUCUUUGUGGUCAGGAUUUGCUUUAUCAUAGAUGUUUCUUAGUGAAGAUGGGACUGUUCGACUUGAGCAUUUGCGCGCAGAAAUGGUCUUUAGAAGACCAUUAUGUCUGACAGAUUGUCGUGGUGAUGUCACAAUGGCCAAGGUUCUCGCACAUCCCAUAGGAUCAGUUCCUACGUUACUUUUCAAUGAAGAUGGAUCAAGGAGGAAGACAUCCAAUGCCGAUUUGACAGACAAAUUAGAAGAAAUUGUACAGAAUGUUGACACUUAACCAGACUUUGACAAAAAGACACUGUCCACAUUCGCGAUACAAUGGCAAUGUUGAUAAGUAUGAAACCUGCCAUUCCCUCCGCGUUUGAUAGUGUUGCUGACAGUUAUAUGCAAAAUAUGAAGCAGUGUUUCACAAGGGCAGAUACUGUCAUAGAUAUGUUCGACCAGUAUGACAAUCGCAACUCCACUAAGUCUGCAGAACGUUCCCGAAGAGCUGACCUCAACACCGGCAAGAAGUAUCAAGUGUCAUCAGGCAGACAGAUUCCACAGUGGAACAAGUUUCUUGGUGUAUCUGAGAACAUGUCACAGUUAACAACGUUUUGUGUACCAAAGUCCAAGUUGCUACAAUGUCAACAGAACCACAAGGAGGAUUGUAUCUCUCAGGAAGAUAUGAAGAUGGAAUGGUGACCAAGUUGAUCCCUCCCACUGGUGAUGCUUGCAUUGAUGAACUUGAAUGUUCUCAAGAAGAAGUUGAUACAUGCAUGCUCUUCAACGCCAUGUACUGCAAUGGUGAGUUUGAAGAGAGGCAUACCCAAGGAAGUAUCGUCAUCAAGUCCCCUGAUACAGAUGUUCUCAUACUAUAUAUCUGCUAUUGUCCACAAAUGGAGCAUGUCCGUGAAAACUGGAGUGUCUUCUGAAGUCACGGACAGGCACCGGUUCAAUCCUGUCCAUAACAUCUGCCAUCUUCUUGGAUCAUCAAUGUCAUUUGCUUUGCCAGGAAUCCAUGCCUUUACUGGCUGAGAUACGUCAUCAGCAUUAUUUUCAUGUUGGCAAGAAGACAGUCUACAAGGCUAUGAUGAAAGACAAAGAUCUGUUUUCAAGUCAUCAAGUCUUAUCUUCGGGAAACCUUGAUGCAGCAGUGGAGGUCUGCAGGCAAUCAAACGUCAGCCUUGUAUAAACCCAGGAAGAAGAUUAAACCACGUCACUCUUUGAAUGACAUGAGAUUUCUACUAUGUCGACUAAGAGACAAUGAGCUUGCCAAACUUCCCUCAUGCGAAGACAGCUUUCGACAGCACGUCAAGCGUGUGAUGCGGCAAACUAGCAUUUGGACAAGUUCUCAUUGUGGUAAACCAGAGUUUGGUAACUUUGAAGAUUUUGCCUGGACUAGGGUGAAUGGAUUGCUCAACCCCAGAUUGUUUGAACAUCAAACUGCUUCUGAAGUUCUUGACUGCCUUGUUUGCACCUGCUGCAAGUCCCCAUGCUCCUCAGUGCGGUGCAUUUGUAGACAGAGCAAUCUGCCUUGUAUUGAACUGUGUCCUUGCAAGCAAGGACAGGGUGGACAGAAUUGCACUAACCUCAUGAAUGAUCUUGGUGAACAUAACCAGUGACAAUGAAGAAUGACCUGUGUAAUAAUCAUAAAUCUAUUUGAUGCAUAACAUGAAGAUUGUAAAAUAGAACUUUGAACUUGAAGAAAGCAAACAAACUUUGAUCUGAUGUGUAACUAAACAUGAUCUGGUGUAUCACUAAACCUGAAAUUGGACGAGUCCAGUAUGGAAUGCCUGGUCAGUAUAAUUGUUUGAAAUUCAUAUUUGAGCUUAUUCCUUUUCCAAGUUGUUAGUUUUUACAAUAACCUUUAACACAAGACAUACUAUUGCUUUACAAAAAGAACAGCAAGUGAAUCUAGUUUGAAGGAUUGUUGGUUCCUAACACAUUACACUUAUAAUUCAGUAUCUUUAACAAUGUUCUAUUUUAGAGAUAUUAAUGUAUCUUUACCUGUAAUGAUGAUAGUGAUGAGUGAUUAAAAGGUAGUUUUGAAAGUAGACCAAUUAGAUUUAUUCUUCUUCUACUUCAUACCUGGGGAAAAAAAGGAGGACCGAAAAUUACAUUUUUUACCCAAAUUUUCAAUCAUGCAAUGAAAAUUUUAUGUCUAAAUAUUGCAAUCACUAUUAUUUUUCUAUUGUGCUGAGAACAACCUUUCAUUUGAUGGUGAAUUUGUUUGAAUGGGGUCAAUAGUUUGAAAAUUAAUAAAGAUAUUUGGAAAAUUA